CCUACGGGAGGCUGCAGUGGGGAAUAUUGGACAAUGGGGGGAACCCUGAUCCAGCCAUGCCGCGUGGGUGAAGAAGGCCCUCGGGGUGUAAAGCACUUUCAGUGAGGAAGAACGCCUGGUGGUUAAUACCCAUCAGGAAAGACAUCACUCACAGAAGAAGCACCGGCUAACUCCGUGCCAGCAGCCGCGGUAAUACGGAGGGUGCGAGCGUUAAUCGGAAUUACUGGGCGUAAAGCGCGCGUAUGUGGCUUGAUAAGCCGGUUGUGAAAGCCCCGGGCUCAACCUGGGAACGGCAUCCGGAACUGUCAAGCUCGAGUGCAGGAGAGGAAGGUAGAAUUCCCGGUGUAGCGGUGAAAUGCGUAGAGAUCGGGAGGAAUACCAGUGGCGAAGGCGGCCUUCUGGACUGACACUGACACUGAGGUGCGAAAGCGUGGGUAGCAAACAGGAUUAGAUACCCUGGUAGUC
rnacentral:rRNA from 1 species